UACGUAGGGUGCAAGCGUUGUCCGGAAUUAUUGGGCGUAAAGAGCUCGUAGGCGGCUUGUCGCGUCGGCUGUGAAAACCUGGGGCUCAACCCCGGGCCUGCAGCCGAUACGGGCAAGCUAGAAUUCGGUAGGGGAGAAUGGAAUUCCUGGUGUAGCGGUGAAAUGCGCAGAUAUCAGGAAGAACACCCGUGGCGAAGGCGGUUCUCUGGGACGGUACUGACGCUGAGACGCGAAAGCGUGGGGAGCGAACAGG
rnacentral:rRNA from 1 species